rnacentral:rRNA from 1 species
GAUGAACGCUGGCGGCGUGCCUAAUACAUGCAAGUCGAGCGAACGGACGAGAAGCUUGCUUCUCUGAUGUUAGCGGCGGACGGGUGAGUAACACGUGGAUAACCUACCUAUAAGACUGGGAUAACUUCGGGAAACCGGAGCUAAUACCGGAUAAUAUUUUGAACCGCAUGGUUCAAAAGUGAAAGACGGUCUUGCUGUCACUUAUAGAUGGAUCCGCGCUGCAUUAGCUAGUUGGUAAGGUAACGGCUUACCAAGGCAACGAUGCAUAGCCGACCUGAGAGGGUGAUCAGCCACGCUGGAACUGAGACACGGUCCAGACUCCUACGGGAGGCAGCAGUAGGGAAUCUUCCGCAAUGGGCGAAAGCCUGACGGAGCAACGCCGCGUGAGUGAUGAAGGUCUUCGGAUCGUAAAACUCUGUUAUUAGGGAAGAACAUAUGUGUAAGUAACUGUGCACAUCUUGACGGUACCUAAUCAGAAAGCCACGGCUAACUACGUG